rnacentral:rRNA from 1 species
UACGUGGGGGGCGAGCGUUGUCCGGAAUUAUUGGGCGUAAAGGGCGUGUAGGCGGCUUAGCAAGUCAGCUGUGAAAUCCCUCGGCUUAACCGGGGGCCUGCAGUUGAAACUGUUGGGCUUGAGUGCAGGAGAGGAGGGUGGAAUUCCUGGUGUAGCGGUGAAAUGCGUAGAUAUCAGGAGGAACACCGGUGGCGAAGGCGACCUUCUGGCCUGUUACUGACGCUGAGGCGCGAAAGCUAGGGGAG